AGCGAACGCUGGCGGCAGGCCUAACACAUGCAAGUCGAACGAACCUUUCGGGGUUAGUGGCGGACGGGUGAGUAACACGUGGGAACGUGCCUUUAGGUUCGGAAUAACUCAGGGAAACUUGUGCUAAUACCGAAUGUGCCCUUCGGGGGAAAGAUUUAUCGCCUUUAGAGCGGCCCGCGUUUGAUUAGCUAGUUGGUUGAGGUAAUGGCUCACCAAGGCGACGAUCAGUAGCUGGUCUGAGAGGAUGAUCAGCCACAUUGGGACUGAGACACGGCCCAAACUCCUACGGGAGGCAGCAGUGGGGAAUCUUGCGCAAUGGGCGAAAGCCUGACGCAGCCAUGCCGCGUGAAUGAUGAAGGUCUUAGGAUUGUAAAAUUCUUUAACCGGGGACGAUAAUGACGGUACCCGGAGAAGAAGCCCCGGCUAACUUCGUG
rnacentral:rRNA from 1 species